CAGUAGCCGCUGUAAUACGGAGGAUCCAAGCGUUAUCCGGAAUCAUUGGGUUUAAAGGGUCCGUAGGCGGUCUUGUAAGUCAGUGGUGAAAGCCCAUCGCUCAACGGUGGAACGGCCAUUGAUACUGCAGGACUUGAAUUAUUGGGAAGUAACUAGAAUAUGUAGUGUAGCGGUGAAAUGCUUAGAGAUUACAUGGAAUACCAAUUGCGAAGGCAGGUUACUACCAAUUGAUUGACGCUGAUGGACGAAAGCGUGGGUAGCGAACAGGAUUAGAUACCCCUGUAGUCCCUGUCUCUUAUAC
rnacentral:rRNA from 1 species